AAUAAAAUUAAGUAUUUAAUAAGACAUGGACUCUCUUCCAACUGCACUAUAAAAAUUAAUAAGCUAAGCCCAUACUUCUUGACGUUUCAUCACCUAAAUAAACCCUGAUACUUAAAAAAUCUGUUGGGCAUGCUGUUUCACACCUUUUACAUCCAACGCAGUCCUCUGUCCUAGGAGAUGAAGCUAUUUGGCCGGCUUUACAACCAUCCCAUGGAA
rnacentral:antisense_RNA from 1 species